AUAAGGAAAAUUGGCAGGUGGCAAACAGUAGCACCGACAACAAGAUAGCCCCUCUCAUUUUUUAGUCUGUUGCAGUUGCAAGAGAAUGUGAGAGAGAGAGAGGGAGGGAGUGGCCCAGCAGAUCGAAAUCUCCUUCUUUUGUUCAAUUCUGGAGACGAUCUAAGUUCCUUUAAUGGAGUUUCAAUAACACCCACUUUGUUGUUCUUUGUUUUUCCAGCUUUAUUUUUCUGUGUGUUUUUGAUAGUGCCAGUCUUUAGGACUCCUUUGAAUUUUUUUUCCUAUGAUGGGGAGGCGACUGUUGAAUAAUUGAAUCCAUUUGGAGGAUUCUUCAGGAGAAGAGAUAAGAGGAUGUGGGUCUGAGGAAUGGGAACAAAAGUACAGCGUGAAAGCUGCUUCCCAGGAUAUUUCUCAAUGACGGAUCUUAAUGAGGAUUCUAAUAGUUGUAGCUGGCCUCUAUGCUAUGGAGAUAGAGCAUUCACAAAUGGGCAGUACUAUAAUGGAUUCUUGCCAAGGGCCAUCACUGAUGUAUAUCCAGGAUAUGACAAGGAUGUAGUAAAGCAGAAAAUGCUGGAGCAUGAGGCCAUAUUUAAGAAGCAGCUGUGUGAACUUCACCGCCUAUACAGAAUACAGAGGGACUUAAUGGAUGAAGUUAAAAGGAAAGAAUUAUAUAAAAAUCAGAUGCCUAUUGAAACUUCGUUGUCAUCAAUCCCCUUAACAUCUCAAAUUACAUCUGAAGAAACUCGGAAAUGGCAUAUCCCUGGCUUCCCAUUGGGAAACUCUGUUUGUGCCGGACCAUCUACCUCAGGCAUUGAAGACGUGCAUCCUCCACUGAGUUCUAUGAAAGGAAGCAGUGCACAAGCUAGUCCCUUGCUAUCUCAAAAUGGAGGUACUUUGAAAGAUGCAGAGAUACUGGAAUCCAGGCCCACGAAGGUGAGGAGAAAGAUGUUUGAUCUUCAACUUCCAGCUAAUGAAUACAUAGACACUGAAGAAGGAGAACAACUGAGGGAUGAAAAUGUAUGUGGUAUUUCUAGUUAUCUGCCAAAUAGGAAUCAUAAAGUUGCAGCUGGGAGUGGAAUAAAUGUGCUUGUUGGCACUGGUGGGAAGAAUAAUUGCCAAGGAGAUGAAUUUCAAUAUGAAUCAUGUUUAAAAAGAAAAAAAAAUAACUUGGCCGACUUGAAUGAGCCUAUUCUGGUUGAGGGUACAAAUGAAUCUGCAAAUAAUCGUCUAGGCUUUACUUCCUUCCAUUGUGAGAUUCAAGGGCAUGAACUGGCUGCUAAACCAAAAUCACAGUUUAUUGGUUUGCCCAAAGAAAUUUUACUGAACUCUCAUCAUGGGGGCGGUAAUGACACUGCCAAUGAUCUGCAUUUACAGAAUAAUGUGAAUGGAAAACUGUGGUUUCCCCAUAUGCUUGACUCAGGGAAUAGUAAAUACAACCUGAAGUCUGUUUCUCUAGGUCUUCAGCCAGAAAAGUUGCCUCCAUCUUCCCAGCCAAUACAAGUUCUUUUAAACAAAACUAAUGAACCUGCAACUCUUUUUCAUACUGUUCAAAGCAAGGUAGAUCAGUUGAGAGAAAGAACACGUCAUGGUUUAGAACUCUCUGGAAGAAAUAAUGAGGUCUCUAAUAAUAACCAUCCAGUUUCAGUUGCUUCCCAUAUACCCAGUCAAUAUGCAAUUGAUCCUUCUUCUGAUUUGAGCAACUUGUGGUCUCGGUCUAUUUCAUCUUGGGAAAAGCCAAGUGGUAGCUUAAGUCAGAAGUCAAUGUCAGUUCAAAUGCACCCAUAUUUCAACUCAUCUGCGACCUUGAGUAGUAUUUCUCAGUCAUCAACACAAACUCAUGGUGUUUUUGGAGACCGGUGGAAUUAUAACAGCAGUUCUGCAUCUAACCUGAGAAUUGGAAGUGAAUUGCCUGCUCAAAAUGGAUUUUACCAUGGGUCCUCAUCAGGGUCCAAGGAGCUACUGGUUCGCUUUCCUUCAGGCAACUGUGAUUAUUUGAACUGCAGUAGUGCCAGUGAUGCAGCCCAUGGAAAUUUCAUCAAUCAUGGUUCAUCAAAGCUCUACAAGAGCUCAAAUUGCAUGGAUUCAAAGUCUGCAAAAGAUGUGAACUUGAAUGUAGUGCUUUCAAACAGCUCCUCAACCAAGAUGGAUUCCCCGCGAGGCCUGGAGGUCAUUGAUUUAGAAAGAAAUCAUGAGGAUCAUCUUGUGGCUUUGCCUUGGCUAAGAACUAAGCCCAGUCAUAAAGCUGAGGCUAAUAGUGCAGGGGUGGAUUUGAAUACUGAGGGAUUAAGUGACUUGCAAUCUUCUCUGAAUCAGUUGUCAGAUAAGAGUGAAGCUGGAAAGUUUCCUAAUCAAACGGUGAUUCAGAAUUUGAAAUCAGCUGCUUGUUCCAAUGUUGCUGAAGCCGGUAGGAUUGAAACAAGCGACUCCUCAAGCUGCAGAAAAAUUUUUGGCUUCCCCAUCUCUGAAAAGCCACAUAUUUCAAAGAUUGAAUCUUCUUCUCUUACCUCCCCUUGUGUUUCCCUUCCUCAGCCAUCUGAAGAAGUAGAAAAUAACAGGAAAAGUAGGGUACUUGAUAUUAACUUACCUUGUGAUCCAGCCAUUCUUGAUUGUAUUCAACAGGCUGCAACAGAAGUUUUGCUCAUAGAAAAAGAAAUUGACACACAAGUUGCCAAUGUCAGACAUGAGAUUGAUUUGAACUCAUGUAUAACUGAGGAUGAAUCUUCUUUGAAGCCUUCUCUUCCAGGAUCAAAUGUGAAGAUUAUUUCGGGAAUAGAUUUGGAAGCCCCUGCAGUUCCAGAGACUGAAGAGGAUAUGAUUCCUGGAGAAGGAUGUCUAGAAAAGGCUCAUGAAGCACCUUCACAAUUAUCACAGCACAACGCUGAAAGUCUGCCAGAUGAAUUUGUCAGAAUAGCGGCGGAGUCAUUAGUUGCCAUCUCUUUGACUGGCCACGGCAACCAUUGGGAUGAUGCUUCUUGCACUCAAUCAGAAACUUCUACGACAGAUCUUCUUCAUUGGUUUGUGGAUAUAGUUUCCUCUUUUGGAGAGGAUCUAGAGAGCAAACUUGCUGUUUUGGGAGCUGAGGAGGAUGGUCAGGAUAAUGAGGGGUCAUCUUUGGAAGAUUACUUCGAGUCUAUGACCUUGAAAUUGACAGAGACUAAGGAAGAAGAUUACAUGCCCAAGCCAUUGGUUCCAGAAGAUCUGAAAUUGGAAGAAACAGGAACAACUUUAUUACCAACUAGAACCCGAAAAGGCCAUGCAAGAAGAGGAAGGCAGCGGAGGGACUUUCAAAGGGACAUUCUUCCAGGACUUGCUUCACUGUCAAGGCAUGAGGUAACAGAAGAUCUCCAGACAUUUGGAGGGCUAAUGAGAGCAACUGGCCAUCC
rnacentral:misc_RNA from 1 species